UUUUUCUUGAUGAGUCUUACUAGAAUUUUAUCUAGGCUAUUAAUAUUUACCAAGAAACAGCUUUUGGUUUUGUUAUCUUCUUAAUUGUUCAUUUGGACUAGAUUUUCCUUGGCUCAGCUGAUCCUCCCGCCUCAUCUUCCCAAGUAGCUGGGACUACAGGUGCACGCAGCCAUGCCUGGCCAAUUUUUAAAAUUUUUUAUAGAGUUAAGAGUCUGACCUUGUUGUCCA
rnacentral:lncRNA from 1 species